rnacentral:siRNA from 1 species
GGAUAUUGAAGAUUACUACUUUAC